rnacentral:lncRNA from 1 species
AUGAACCUGCUCAGAGUGGAGAACAAGGAGCACAUGCAUGCCCAAAGAUGCAGGUCACUACGCCUGCCUCGCCACCAGCUUGCUUGGUUCAAGUGCAGUUUGUUCUUCUCUGUUGACAAGCCAAGUGGACAUUGCAGUUUCCCUCAUCCUGCUGAAGAUCCCUUGGCAAGAGUGAUGGAGAAGCAGAGACUCCAAAGCCAGGAUCUGGCUGCAGACUGCUCAUUCAAGGAGAGCAUCCUGCUUUGCACUGGAACAAGAAGUCUCCCCAGCUCUGAUCCAGAAUUUGAGGAUCCAGAGGGUAGAGCCUGCUGCCAGGCACUGCGAGCCCAGCCCAGCCAGCCUCCAAGGGCCAUUGGGCCAUCACACUGAUGUUGCAAGGCGGUAACAAAAGGAUGCAGGAAGUCCUUAUGAGGAGGAUGCUGUGAUGAGGAAGUGAACAAGAUGAGCUGUUAAUAAAAGACACAAAGCAUUGAAAUCUCUCGGAAUA